rnacentral:lncRNA from 1 species
CAUUCUAGACUCUAGAGAUUCCUUUUUUGAGACUUGGAGAAGAUCUUCAGCAGUAAGAGGAGAAGAUUUGGUAGAGAAUAGGUUGAGGAAAGUGGAUUUGAAAGAGGUUAGAAUGUGGAAGAGUGUUGUUAGAAUUUUUAGGCUGUAGUCUGCAGGGCUGCAAAGGGAGAAAGGUUUUGAAGAUUUUUUAGAGGUUUUUGGAUAUGGGAUUUUUAUGGUUUAUAGGAGACUGAUGGUGGUUUGGGACAGAAAAGUUUGAGAAAAAAAGUUGGACCUAUGGCCAGCCAAAAAUCUAGGAAGACAGGGUUGGCGUGAAGAAGAGCUGUGGCAUGGAACCUAAGGCUAUCGGAAGGAGAGAGAGAAGAUCCCCAUAAGGGGGCUGAUAUCUUGAAAAAGGAGGGCUAGAUGUGUAUUUAUAGAGAGGAAGGGCAUUAGGGUUUGGAGACUUUUAGGCAUGAAGGAGUUAUUUUAUUUUGGCUUGGGUUUGUUGGGAGUUUGGUACGUGUAAGAAAUAAAAGAGAGAGAACGUAGGGUUUGUGUGUAGCAUGUAAGAUUUAAAGGAUUAAGGAGAGAGGGAGGCAUGAGGAGAUUAUUAGCAUGAAAGAGAAUUUUAACAUGAGGGAUAUGGGGCAUGAGGCUUCUUAGGAUUUCAUGUGGAGAGGUGGCUUAAAUCCAAGCCAUUAGAUCUUAAGUUGUUUGCUUCUAGGCCCUUGAUUGGGGCAUCACUUCUAGGCCUUUAGAUCUCACAGCUUGUAUUUGAUCAAUUGAUCUUUAUGUCGCAUUCAGACUAGAAUAAAAUUUUGGCCCUUGAUCUUGAUAGGUUGCAUCUCAUCCCUUCAUGAGUAAGUCAUGUUCACACUGGAUGGGAGCUGGUUGCCUGAUUCAUUCAAAUCAGAGUCACAUUGAGUCCAAUUUGAAUUGUAUAAAUCCAAACUCCUAAUCAC